GUUACGUUUAAGUUUGUUUGUAGGAGAGAAUAUGUACAUUUCAGUUAGACAAACUAUCGAGAACACAAAGUGAACAUAAAUUUAAAGCUACCCUGGACCGCGAACCGCCGCUCAGGAACCCCUGCAUAAUUUUUGAUCAACCUACUGCUGAACAGCGAGGCAGUAGCACUCUCAAGCUAUCGGUUGGAGAAAAGCGCCAAUUCACACACGCACACCGACUUGUCGAUUUAGACAUCACCAGCAUCGAAAGAUCAGUCGGAAUCAGAGCGGUGAGAAAACGACGCCGCUCAUCACAAAAACCAUACACUGGUAGCAUCCAUCCGCAAACCAUCACAGCUUCGAUGGACAAGCGAAGGAGAUAGAGAGCUCCUGCAUGCGGCGAGCGUAAUGUCUGAACACGAAGACAGCGUCACUCUCGUGAGAGUGAGCGAACAUCUCUCGCUUCCACUCAACAAAAUCUGCGGUGCGAUCGUCGGACGACGUAAAUCGAGAGUGGGCUAUUCAAAUCCAGUCCGUCAAGGUAACCACACGCGAAGAGCCUCGUCGCGAACAGUUCGGAAACCGGUUCAAAGUUAGCAGUGGGAUUUAUCCGCAAAAUCGGCCAUCUUGAGUCAGCGCAAAGUACGGUAGUGAAAAUUCGCAGAUGCGAAAGUGAUUGCAACGUACGAAUGUAAUUGCAAGUGGAAGUUUUCGCUGGUUUGCGUAGAAACGGCAACAUUUGCGCCAGCCAGAUCCACCAUUUUGCGAAUCGAAACCACGUUUCAACAGCAAACUGGCGUGGACAAAUAUUCAUCCACUGACGGAAAGAACCGGGCCAAAACGUCGCAAGCGUCGAGAUCAGUGAUUCCCAAACUGAAGAACACCGUCGUCAUCUGGCCGUGGAUCGUCACCAAAGAAAGACCGUCACAUCAUCGUCGGAUCAGUGCGUUUACCAUGCGACCAAAAAAGCCUUCCUAGGAAGGCUUUUUUCUUUUGGGCUCAAUUGCAGUUAACCGCUCACUUUGAGCAUCAGGACGGCCGGCCAUUCAGAUCAGGACGAGAGGGACGAUUGUUGGUGUGGCAGCGAAGAGUGGGCGAAGUACGACGUCGGUUGGGGACUGGUUGCAGACCGGAUCAAACCACGACCACAACACCUUGAAGAACGGAUUGGAGGAUUUUGAGGAGAGCCACGCUGCACGAUCGAAUCGCCCGUUCGGUGGCCAGGAACUUCAGCCGCUCGGGUAGCGAUCAAGUGUGCAGCUGCGAUUGAUGUUGGAGCGGAUGAUGGUUGCUGGGCAGAGGGCCAACAUGCUUGGCCGCGAUUGCGAUGCAAGGCAGGGUAAGGAGCGAGACGGCGGUUCGGCCGACAAAAAGGGUGCACCCAAGAAGAGCGCGCGCGCGUGAGUAAUAAGCCAUAAGAAAACUGAAUACUAGAAUUAAGAAAGAUAUCAAGCAAGGAUGAGUAGGAGGCAGGCUAUCUAAGA
rnacentral:lncRNA from 1 species